GGACUACCCGGGUAUCUAAUCCUGUUUGCUACCCACGCUUUCGUGUCUCAGCGUCAGUGAUGGUCCAGAAAGCUGUCUACACCGCAGGUGUUCCUCCUGAUAUCUACGCAUUUCACCGCUACACCAGGAAUUCCGCUUUCCUCUCCCAUACUCGAGCCCUCCAGUUUUCGGCGCACCCUCCCAGUUGAGCCGGGAAAUUUCACACCAAACUUAGAGAACAGCCUACACACUCUUUACGCCCAGUAACUCCGAACAACGCUUGCUGCCUACGUAUUACCGCGGCUGCUGGCAC
rnacentral:rRNA from 1 species